AAGAGGAACUUAGGCCAUAUAUAUAAAAGCAAGAAAAACAAAUUAAGAAUCAGCAAAACCUCAUUUCUCUAGCUGAAAUGAAGAUCAUCCCGUAUGUUCUUCUUCUCCUAACCCUCAAAACUUCAUUUGGCCAUAUCUUUUUCGUUUCUUAACGGAAUUGAGCGAUUCUCGCGACCACGGAACGAGGAAAGGAUCCUCUAUUUAAUUAUGGCUUCAAUUUGAGGAUGAUCUUGAGUUUAUUUGGAGCAAAGUCAUGGUGAAUUGAUGCUUAAAAUCAUUUGGCCAAGGGACAUCAACAAGAAAAGGUUCGACAAAAAAAAACUAAUAGAGGACAUGGAGCUCAGGGAGCUUACGCUAUUAAUAACGAGGAUUUUGGAUAAGCAAGCAGUACCUAUAUUCUGGACUUGGCUAGAAGUCCAUUCUUUGAUCGGAAGUAAAUCUUGUCGUGUGCAGUCCAGACUUCCGUAGUUGCUGCAGUAGUGUCUUGCCUGACCAGAGUUGUGGUCUAGUACAACAUUUUGAUACAGUGUCGGUUCUGAUUUGAUGUCUUUGUAGUUAUAUAUGUUUUGUACACGGAAGGUGAAUACCUGUGAUGAUAUGGUUUUGAACAAUAGUAUGUAUCGGGCUAAUACGUACAUGAUACGGAAACAAUAAGCCCAAAUAUUUUGUGUCAAUAAGUUACUAGUGUAUAAAGAUGUGUAUAUGUAUAUGCUUCCGCUAUAAUGCCAAUAUAUGAUUGAUGUUUUGAGAAAACGUUUUAGUGAAUUUUAGGCUUGCUACGGGUUUCGGAACUACCAUUCCCAUUCCCUAGCGCCGGUCUCGACUCGAGAUUUUGGGUCGUGACAAAGCAAGUUGGUAUCAGAGCAGUUAGUCCAGUUACUACUGCUAAUAUG